UACAGAGGCCCCAAGCGUUAGUCGGAAUUACUGGGCUUAAAGGGUGCGUAGGCGGGCGCGUAAGUGUUCUGUGAAAUCCCCGGGCUCAACCCGGGAACCGCAGGGCAUACUGCGCGUCUCGAGGAAGCUAGAGGCCGGUGGAACGAUCGGUGGAGCGGUGGAAUGCGUAGAGAUCGAUCGGAACGCCAAGGGUGAAGACAACCGGCUGGGGCUUUCCUGACGCUGAGGCACGAAAGCGCGGGGAUCAAACAGG
rnacentral:rRNA from 1 species